rnacentral:rRNA from 1 species
CCUACGGGUGGCAGCAGUGGGGAAUAUUGGGCAAUGGGCGCAAGCCUGACCCAGCAACGCCGCGUGAAGGAAGAAGGCUUUCGGGUUGUAAACUUCUUUUCUCAGGGACGAAGAACGUGACGUUACCUGAGUAAUAAGCCACGGCUAACUACGUGCCAGCAGCCGCGGUAAUACGUAGGUGGCAAGCGUUAUCCGGAUUUAUUGGGUGUAAAGGGCGAGUAGGCGGGAGCGCAAGUCAGAUGUGAAAACUCAGGGCUCAACCCUGAGCCUGCAUUUGAAACUGUGUUUCUUGAGUGCUGGAGAGGCAAUCGGAAUUCCGUGUGUAGCGGUGAAAUGCGUAGAUAUACGGAGGAACACCAGUGGCGAAGGCGGAUUGCUGGACAGUAACUGACGCUGAGGCGCGAAAGCGUGGGGAGCAAACAGGAUUAGAUACCCUUGUAGUC